rnacentral:tRNA from 3 species
AAAGCUUUAGCUUAAUUAAAGCGCUUGUUUUGCAAGCAAGAGAUGUGAGUU